rnacentral:rRNA from 1 species
GUGCAACAGUUUGGGGUGCUGGCUAGACCUUUGUUCAAUCUAUUGAAGAAAGGCUCUCCAUUCGUCUGGACGGAUAACACCGAGCAGAGCUUUCAGGUGCUCAAGCAGGGUUUAAUCUCUGCUCCGGUGCUCGCACUACCUAAUUUCCAGAAGCCAUUCACUAUCGAGACGGAUGCUUGUGACGUGGGCAUCGGGGCAAUCUUACAGCAAGAGGGGCAUCCAAUUGCUUUCAUGAGCAAAUCGCUUUGCCAGAAAUACCGCGGACUGUCCACAUAUGAGAAGGAGUACCUCGCAAUCAUCGCGGUAGUCGAUCAAUGGCGCCCUUACUUGCAGUCAGCAGAAUUUGUGAUCAAGACUGAUCAACGCAGCUUGGUGCACUUACAAGAGCAACGGCUAGUCACCUCAUGGCAGCAGCGAGCCUUUACUAAACUCCUCGGGUUGCAGUACCGCAUCGUCUACAACAAAGGAUCGGAGAACGGGGCUGUGGAUGCUCUUUCUCGGCUGCCCAAAGCAGAAACACUGUUUGGGAUCUCCACUUGUCAACCAGCGUGGUUGGAAGAUGUGCUCGCAAGCUACAACUGCAAUCCGCACUCUCAGAAGCUGUUGGAACAGCUGGCAAUCAGACCUGACCCCAAGAAGCGCUUCACCCUGGCGCAUGGCAUCAUCCGUUUUAGAGAUCGCAUAUGGCUGGGAGGCAGCACUGAGCUACAACAGAAAAUUAUGGCAGCUUUCCAUGACAGCCCCGUCGGAGGACACUCUGGGUUUCCAGUGACUUACAAGCGUAUCCGUAGGUUAUUUGCUUGGCCCAAGAUGAAGAUGCACAUUGAGCAAUAUGUCAAGUGUUGCCAGAUAUGCCAACAAGCCAAAACGGAGAGAGUGGCAUCACCAGGGCUGCUGCAACCUCUUUCUGUUCCACAGGCUUCGUGGGAUAUGAUAACAAUGGACUUCAUCGAUGGAUUGCCGCAAUCAGGUCAGCACAACUGCAUCUGGGUUUUAGUCGACCGGAUGACUAAGUUCGCUCAUUUUUUGCCUCUUCCCCACCCGUACACCGCUUCUCGAGUGGCUCAACUGUUCAUG